rnacentral:rRNA from 1 species
GCACAAGCGGUGGAGCACGUGGUUAAUUCGAUGCAAACCGAAGAACCUUACCUGGGUUUGACAUGUGCGUGUUACUGAGGUGAAAGCCGAGGGACCAUAUCUUCGGAUGUGGAGCGUACACAGGUGCUGCAUGGCUGUCGUCAGCUCGUGUCGUGAGAUGUUGGGUUAAGUCCCGCAACGAGCGCAACCCUUGUCAUUAGUUGCUACGAAAGGGCACUCUAAUGAGACUGCCGGUGACAAACCGGAGGAAGGUGGGGAUGACGUCAAGUCCUCAUGGCCCUUAUAGGUGGGGCUACACACGUCAUACAAUGGCUGGUACAAAGGGUUGCCAACCCGCGAGGGGGAGCCAAUCCCAUAAAGCCAGUCGUAGUCCGGAUCGCAGUCUGCAACUCGACUGCGUGAAGUCGGAAUCGCUAGUAAUCGUGGAUCAGCAUGUCACGGUGAAUACGUUCCCGGGUCUU